rnacentral:tRNA from 1 species
GGGCGUAUAACUCAGCGGAAGAGUGCCACCUUCACACGGUGGAAGUCGCAGGUUCAAAUCCUGCUACGCCCA